GGUUAAGUGACUAAGCGUACAUGGUGGAUGCCUUGGCAGUCAGAGGCGAUGAAGGACGUACUAACCUGCGAUAAGCCGUGAGCAGUCGGUAAGAGACAUUACGACUCACGGAUUUCCGAAUGGGGAAACCCACUUAGCAUAAGCUAGGUAUCGCUACGUGAAUACAUAGCGUAGCGAGGCGAACCGGGAGAACUGAAACAUCUAAGUACCCCGAGGAAAAGAAAUCAACCGAGAUUCCCUCAGUAGCGGCGAGCGAACGGGGAUUAGCCCUUAAGCAUCUUGGAAGUUAGUGGAACGGUCCU
rnacentral:rRNA from 2 species